rnacentral:pre_miRNA from 1 species
CAUACAGUGAGGAGUGGUAACUCCACCACCGUUGGCGUCUUUUUAACAGCCAGCGGUUGAGGAGUUCCUCAACCUCGCGGAUG